GAUCAAAGGCUCGUAAGUGAGCACCCACACCAUAACGCUCCCCUGGCCAUUGGGCUUGACGGUGAUGGUGGCGGAGUGAGAUUUGAGCUGCGAGCCGAGGUAUCCUCCCUCGAUCAGAGAGGCGCCAAUGGUCAUGCUCGAUUCAUCCAAAAUCGUUACCUUCUCCUUGAUGUAGGGGAAUCCAACGAUCUCUGCCAAGCGAAGAUGAUGGAAACGAUCAAGCUUGAGAGAAGAGGCGUGUGAUGAUCUUACCAGCGUUGAAGUUCACAGUUCUAAUGCUUCCAAUCGCACCGUCGCUGCCCUCGACCUCCACGCUGGUCACCACGGGCUUGACGGCCUUGGCGAGCAAUUGAGCGUCCAUAAUCGCUGCCCACAACUUUGGAGCAGGGAUCGCGAGGGGCAGCUCCUUGGUGACUGUGGAAGGGGCCAUGUUGACUACUGCACAAGAGGGAUUCAAAACCAUUCAAUUGGAUCGAAGCAACCAAAUCGAAAGCUCUGGCUUACCUUGACGAAGGGAAGUGUUUGCUCAGCUUGCUCUAGGCUUCAGCUCCAAGAUGGAGCUAUUAUUGCGGCAAGGAAAUUUCUCGGUUAGUGGAUUUGGUUGUUGGAGGUCUCGUCAAAGCCGUGUGUUCCAGCUAAACCAAGUCAAGUUCAACUGUAUCUCGAUUUGCGUGUUGGCUGCUCGUUUCACGGCUCCAAUGAUCAAGUGGAACCCCAUGCGCUCCUCCACUUAAACGCUCUGGAUGAAUAAACUACGAGGGCGCGAGCGAGAAGAUCUCUCUCUCCGGAAUCCUUGAGAGCUCGAGGCGAUGGGCGAAUCGAGCGUCGACUUACGUCGCUGUUCUAGCGGCCUGCACAAACAUCCGGGAGGAACGUGAGCGUGGAGAUGGAGGGAGCGAGAAGACCCCCACAACAAACUUGCAAACUUGUUUGCACAUUCUUGUUGGGCACCGCAAGACUGCCAAAACAGAAUAUAGAUAGAUAGAUAGAUAGAUUGGGGUAAAGAGAUCCACGUCCAGGCCAUGGAGAAGAAGCUCAACGCGCUGGAUCCAGUCGCAAAGCUUGCAAAAUGCUGAACAUCUUCAGAUCGAAAAGCUUUUUUUGUUUUAGAGCUCUGAUGGCUAUCUCCGUUUGAAGAAAACAAGCACUUGUCCAGUAUGCCAGGGACGUGGAAAAUUAUUCCUUGUGAACACCCAUUGACUUUCAAGAACACUGCCGUAAGAAUAGCUAUAGAUCUCACUUUUGCCGAGUCAGCUGGAUUGCCUGGAAGAGAUUGUUUCAUGUAGGAGCCUCUCCAGGGCGCGGGAGCUCCACCGCGCUUGGGCUUGUCAUCCCAAGAGCCGUGGCGAUUUCCUGGUGUGGAACAGGGUGAUUGAGAUGUAUGGGCGGUGUGGGAGCGUGGCGCUGGCCAGGGAGGUGUUUGAUUCCAUCCCUCUCGAUCGCAGGGACUGCUUCUCGUGGGGAAUGCUUCUCUUGGCGUGCUCCAGGAAUGGCCGUGUUGACGAUGCCAGGCGGGUGUUUGAUGCGAUGCCGGAGCGGGAUGUGGCGUGCUGGAAUUCAAUGCUGGAUGCCUACUUUAGAACUGGCAAGUUUGGAUCUGCAAAAGAGAUUUUUUCCCAGAUGCCCGAGAGAAAUCUUGUGUCUUGGACUGCUAUGGUUGCAGCAAAUGCCAGAAAUGGAGAUCUAGAAUAUGCUUUGAGCUUACUGGAAAGAAUGCCAUGCUGGAGUAUGAUGGUCUGGAACUCGCUCUUUUCAGCAAUAUGUGACAUAUUCUGUAUAAGAGAAUGCAAACUGUUCUUUGAUUCAAUGCCGAGAAAAGAUCUGAUCUCGUGGAACGCAAUGCUUCAGGCACAUGCCCAACACGGGCAUUUGCAAGACUGUCUUGAAAGCUUUGAAAAGAUGCCAGUGAGAAAUCUUAUUUCCUGGAACACACUUUUGUUCGCAGCGGCGAGCCACGACAGCCUUGAGAUGGCGAGAAAAUUCUUUCGUGAUAUGCCAGAGAGGGAUUUGGUUUCGUGGAAUUCGCUGCUAUCGGCGUGCGACGAUCUGGAAUCCGCGAAAAGGGUAUUUGAUGCAAUGCCAGCAAGGAACUCGGUUUCCUGGAAUUCACUCCUGGGGAUAUAUACUCGCUGCGCCUCUGUAGAUGAAGCAAAGGAUCUCUUUGAUCAAAUGCCCGAACGGGAUUGUGUGUCCUGGAAUCUAAUGCUCUCAGUGCUUUCCCUGGCAGGGAAACUUGACUCGAUCCUGCUACUCUUCGAUCGCAUGGAAGAAAAGAAUUUCGCCUCUCUGGCCACGAUGAUCGCUGCUCAUUCCCAAGCUGGGAACGUGAUCCAAGCCGAGAAUCUCUUAGCUCAAACUCCAGAGAUCAAUCUCGUCCUUGCGACCGCAAUGCUGAGCGCCUAUGCCCAAAACGGGCAUCUCAACGCUGCCAAGCGUUUGUUAGCCACGAUCCCAGAGAUGAGCGUCGUGACGCUUAACGCGAUGCUGAGUGGACUGUGUGCCGGGGGUGAUGUGGCGCUGGCUCAGCAGCUCCUGGACCAAUCGCCGUGCAGGGAUCUUGUGAGCUGGACGUCCUUGCUGGCGGGCUAUGCCCAGCACGGUCAUGUCGACGUGGCACGGAGCUUGUUCGACGCUAUGCCAUGUCACAGCUCUGUGACGUGGAAUGCCAUGCUGUCGGCAUAUGCCCAGAACGGGUUCGCCGACGAGGCGAGACUAGUCUUUGCUGGCAUGCCACAUCGGAGCCAGGUGGCGUGGCGGGCGAUGGUGUGUGCCUACGCGCAGAACGGGCGGGUGGACGCGGCGGAGCGCCUGAGCUUGGCUAUGCCGGAGCAGCAUUGUGCGUCUUCUUGCGCGGCGCUGCUCGUUUGCUACGCCCACACCCGUGAUCUAGCAGAAUUCCUCCACGAAUUCGAGCGAUUGGGAGCUCUGGGCAUGGCGGACGGGAUGUUCUUCACGGCCUUUCUCGUGGCUUGCAGCCGCUGGGGGCGGGUCUACGAUGGGCGAUGCUGCUUCGCAGCGAUGAGCAUGGAUCAUGGGAUUACGCCCGGGAAGCAGCACUACAGCUGCGUGGUGGACCUCCUGGCGCGAUCGGGUCACUUGGGCGAUGCCGAGGAGCUCAUGCGGUCCAUGCCCUGGAUCCCCGAUGCGAUCGAUUGGGGAUGCCUGGCUGGGGCGUGCCGGAUCUACAGCGAUCCGGGCAGGGGAGUGAUUGCUGCUCAGCGCCUGAUCUCCCACGAUCCUGGAUCCUUCGCGUGGAUCUCUCUCGCCAACAGUUUCUCCUUGGCAAGAUCUACACCUAGAGUGAAGCCCGAGAGGGCAAAGAAGAGUUUCUUUCAUCACACUCACCGAGGAGAAACUUAUUCCUUGGAUCAAACAAAACCCGAGAAAGAAAGAAGUCUAGAUCUGCACGAAUCUAGUUCGUGGACUGGAGGUAGGCCUCGAUCGCCUUGAAGGAUUUGACAAAGCCCUCGACGAUCUCGUCAAUGUUGGGGUUCUCGACCAAAGGCUCGUAUUGGAGCACCCACACGAUAACGCUCCCCUGGCCAUUGGGCUUGACGGUGAUGGUGGCGGAAUGAGAUUUGAGCUGCGAGCCAAGGUAUCCUCCCUCGAUCAUAGAGGUGCCAAUGGUCAUGCUCGAUUCAUCCAAAGACGUCAGCUUCUCCUUGACGUAAGGGAAUCCAACGAUCUCUGCCAAGCGAAAGCAAACAUGACCGAGAGAUGGGAAUGAUAGCAGUGAUCUUUCUUACCAGCAUUGAAGUUCACAGUUCUAAUGCUUCCAAUCACACCGUCGCCGCCCUCGACCUCCACGCCAGUCACCACGGGCUUGACGGCCUUGGCGAGCAAGUGAGCGUCCAUGAUCGCUGCCCACAACUUUGGAGCAGGGAUCGCGCAGGGCAGCUCCUUGGUGACUGUGGAAGGGGCCAUUUGGAUCUUGGUAGAAAUGUGGACUGCUGUGCAAGGAGAUUCGAAACCAUUCAAUUGGAUCGAAGCAACCAAAUCGAGAGCUCUUGCUAGUUACCUUGACGAAGAAACUUAGGCUUUCCUUGCCUCAACUUGCUCUAGCUUGGCUCUAGGCUUCCCUUUUAUACCUCGGACCGGGAUCAAAAUUUUCUCAAUCCAAGUCUUGGUAGAUGGAGCUAUUGUAGGCGAUUGCGGCAGGAAAGCUUCCGGUCUUUCUACAGUUAAAGGAUUUGGUUGGUGAGGUCGCGUUUCCUUCGUCAAAGCCGUGUGUUCCAGCCAAACCAUUUUCUUUCUCUUCUUUGAGCACGCAAAGAUGGGUUCAAAAAACUAUGAAUUAAAUUUAGGGCUUGUUUCUUUACAGAUUUAUUGUUGCACAACGACCUUGACUAGCGCACGUUGUUUGUUGCAAGACUGUGGGAAAAAUCUUGGUGUUCUAGCAUAGCUUUGAGCCCGUGCUUGCAAGCAAAUCCUCGCAUUUGGACCUCUCUCGCAAGUGAAUCACCAGGAACUCGUCCGGUGGUAGCCCGGCUCGGCCUUCUCCCAAGU
rnacentral:lncRNA from 1 species